rnacentral:rRNA from 1 species
ACGGAAGGCAGCAGUGGGGAAUAUUGCACAAUGGGGGAAACCCUGAUGCAGCGACGCCGCGUGGAGGAAGAAGGUCUUCGGAUUGUAAACUCCUGUUGUUAGGGACGAUAAUGACGGUACCUAACAAGGAAGCCACGGCUAACUACGUGCCAGCAGCCGCGGUAAAACGUAGGUGGCAAGCGUUGUCCGGAAUUACUGGGUGUAAAGGGAGCGCAGGCGGACCGACAAGUUGGAAGUGAAACCCACGGGCUCAACCUGUGGCCUGCUUCCAAAACUGUCGGUCUUGAGUAGUGCAGAGGUAGGCGGAAUUCCCGGUGUAGCGGUGGAAUGCGUAGAUAUCGGGAGGAACACCAGUGGCGAAGGCGGCCUACUGGGCACCAACUGACGCUGAGGCUCGAAAGUAUGGGUAGCAAACAGGAUUAGAUACCCUGGUA